AUCUGCCAUAGUGUUCACGGAGUUGAGGGGGGAAAUUCAGAGCCUUUGUUUUAACACGAGCUGAUACUUUACCCUGGUUAACCAAAAAAGGCCCCAAAUGGCCUUCUUCCCAGCAAAUGCCCAGGAUGGCUAGGGAACUGAAACGGCCGGCCAGGUAAGGGAUUCCUAAGCUCAACCCAACAGGCAUGCUCCCAUUCGGGCCUUUGCACUGGCCGGUAUCUCUGCUUGGAACUCCUUCCCUCCAGAUACGCUUCAUGUCUCUGCUCAGUGAGGCCUAUCCUGACCACCCUAUUUACAAUUGCCAUCUGCUUGAGCACAAGCACCCUUAUCUACCCCUUAUCUACUGUUUUCUAUAGUAUGUAUCCUCUUCUAACAUACCAUAUGACUUAAUUGUUGCAUUUAUUGCUUUUCUUUCCUCACUAGAAUGGAAAUCCAUGAGGGCAGGGAUCUUGUUUUGGUCUCUGAUGUAGCCCCAGCAUCUACAAUAGGGCCUGGCACAUAGGGGUGCUCUGUAAAUAUCUGCUGAUUGAUUGGCUGAACCUCCCCAGAAACUCCAUCUCAUUGUGUGACCUUGGGCAACUCUCUUCCCUUCUUAAGGCCUCGAAUGCCCUGUCAAUGACAUGUUAGAUAUGAAACUCUCUAAAGUUUGGCCUAACUCUGAGACACUGGAAUUCUAGAAGGACCUGCAUUGUGACUCUGCAGGGGAAGGACAGCAUGUCCCUGUGACUCUAUACUAUCUGGUCCCUCCCAGCCCAGGCUACUCCACCUUGGGCCCCUACUCCCACCCCGCCCCCAUCACUUUCUGCACGAAGAGGCUGCAUUAAGAGUCAUGUACAGUGCCGAGGGCUCAUUUAAACACUUCAAAGUUCCUAUCAGGAAUCUGAGAACAUCCCUUACGAGCUAAAGGUUUGCAAUCCUUCAUCCAGACCUCAGCUCUGAAGGGAGCGGACCAUUUCAGAAACCCAAGGGAAGUCUAGGAGAUCCAGAACCCACUUUGACCCAGAGAAGAGACAUGUGGCCCAGACCAGGGAUUCUGCCUCCAAAUACUGAAUGGACACUGAGAACAUCACCCCUUCUGGCCAGUGACACCUGCCUAUUUCCAGGAAACUGUCUGAGAUCUGAACACCAGUGUCCCUGGAGGACUGAACAGAGAUGGAGAGAGAAGAAUCAGGGCUAACUCCUCUCCUGUGGUCCCCGCUGCCUAUGGAAGUCCUGACCUGACGGUCCAUUGUCUUCAUGACCUGGUCCCAAUUCACCCUCCUAGUUUUGUCUUCCCAAAUCCACCAAAGCCCAGCUUCAAAGUCAUCUCCUCCAGAAAACCUUCCUGGAGUAUCUUUUUUCCUCCAUACUCUCAUUGCUUGAGACAUUUGUCACUUCUUACCUCUUAUACAUCUAUCUCAUCUAUAUCUUGUC